GGGGAUAUAGGUCAGUGGUAGAGCACAUGCUUGGCAUGCAGGAGGUCCUGGGUUCAAUCCCCAGUGCCUCUG
rfam:Camelus ferus unplaced genomic scaffold scaffold950, whole genome shotgun sequence.